AUUGAACGCUGGCGGCAGGCCUAACACAUGCAAGUCGAACGGUAACAGGAAGAAGCUUGCUUCUUUGCUGACGAGUGGCGGACGGGUGAGUAAUGUCUGGGAAACUGCCUGAUGGAGGGGGAUAACUACUGGAAACGGUAGCUAAUACCGCAUAACGUCGCAAGACCAAAGAGGGGGACCUUCGAGCCUCUUGCCAUCGGAUGUGCCCAGAUGGGAUUAGCUAGUAGGUGGGGUAACGGCUCACCUAGGCGACGAUCCCUAGCUGGUCUGAGAGGAUGACCAGCCACACUGGAACUGAGACACGGUCCAGACUCCUACGGGAGGCAGCAGUGGGGAAUAUUGCACAAUGGGCGCAAGCCUGAUGCAGCCAUGCCGCGUGUAUGAAGAAGGCCUUCGGGUUGUAAAGUACUUUCAGCGGGGAGGAAGGGAGUAAAGUUAAUACCUUUGCUCAUUGACGUUACCCGCAGAAGAAGCACCGGCUAACUCCGU
rnacentral:rRNA from 1 species